AAUUUCCAGGCUGCACUCGUGGAUUUGGAGUGACGGUAGAAACAUGGAAUGCUGGUGGCCUUCUGGUCCAUACCGCCAACUGUUAUGGUCAUGUACUUGCUGGGCUCCCUUCUCGUCUUGUGAAUAUGUCUAUAAU
rnacentral:precursor_RNA from 15 species